AAAAUGCAAGUCGAGCGGUAGCACAGAGAGCUUGCUCUCGGGUGACAAGCGGCGGACGGGUGAGUAAUGUCUGGGAAACUGCCUGAUGGAGGGGGAUAACUACUGGAAACGGUAGCUAAUACCGCAUAAUGUCGCAAGACCAAAGUGGGGGACCUUCGGGCCUCAUGCCAUCAGAUGUGCCCAGAUGGGAUUAGCUAGUAGGUGGGGUAACGGCUCACCUAGGCGACGAUCCCUAGCUGGUCUGAGAGGAUGACCAGCCACACUGGAACUGAGACACGGUCCAGACUCCUACGGGAGGCAGCAGUGGGGAAUAUUGCACAAUGGGCGCAAGCCUGAUGCAGCCAUGCCGCGUGUGUGAAGAAGGCCUUCGGGUUGUAAAGCACUUUCAGCGGGGAGGAAGGCGUUAAGGUUAAUAACCUUGUCGAUUGACGUUACCCGCAGAAGAAGCACCGGCUAACUCCGUGCCAGCAGCCGCGGUAAUACGGAGGGUGCAAGCGUUAAUCGGAAUUACUGGGCGUAAAGCGCACGCAGGCGGUCUGUCAAGUCGGAUGUGAAAUCCCCGGGCUCAACCUGGGAACUGCAUUCGAAACUGGCAGGCUAGAGUCUUGUAGAGGGGGGUAGAAUUCCAGGUGUAGCGGUGAAAUGCGUAGAGAUCUGGAGGAAUACCGGUGGCGAAGGCGGCCCCCUGGACAAAGACUGACGCUCAGGUGCGAAAGCGUGGGGAGCAAACAGGAUUAGAUACCCUGGUAGUCCACGCCGUAAACGAUGUCGAUUUGGAGGUUGUGCCCUUGAGGCGUGGCUUCCGGAGCUAACGCGUUAAAUCGACCGCCUGGGGAGUACGGCCGCAAGGUUAAAACUCAAAUGAAUUGACGGGGGCCCGCACAAGCGGUGGAGCAUGUGGUUUAAUUCGAUGCAACGCGAAGAACCUUACCUGGUCUUGACAUCCACAGAACUUUCCAGAGAUGGAUUGGUGCCUUCGGGAACUGUGAGACAGGUGCUGCAUGGCUGUCGUCAGCUCGUGUUGUGAAAUGUUGGGUUAAGUCCCGCAACGAGCGCAACCCUUAUCCUUUGUUGCCAGCGGUUAGGCCGGGAACUCAAAGGAGACUGCCAGUGAUAAACUGGAGGAAGGUGGGGAUGACGUCAAGUCAUCAUGGCCCUUACGACCAGGGCUACACACGUGCUACAAUGGCAUAUACAAAGAGAAGCGACCUCGCGAGAGCAAGCGGACCUCAUAAAGUAUGUCGUAGUCCGGAUUGGAGUCUGCAACUCGACUCCAUGAAGUCGGAAUCGCUAGUAAUCGUAGAUCAGAAUGCUACGGUGAAUACGUUCCCGGGCCUUGUACACACCGCCCGUCACACCAUGGGAGUGGGUUGCAAAAGAAGUAGGUAGCUUAACCUUCGGGAGGGCGCUACCA
rnacentral:rRNA from 1 species